rnacentral:rRNA from 1 species
UAGCUACAGGCUUAACACAUGCAAGUCGAGGGGCGAGCAUGAAGUUUGCUUGCAAACUUGAUGGCGACCGGCGCACGGGUGAGUAACGCGUAUCCAACCUUCCCUAUACUAGAGGAUAGCCCGGCGAAAGUCGGAUUAAUACUCUAUGUUGUAUUUCGAGGACAUCUGAAUAAUACCAAAGGUUUACCGGUAUAGGAUGGGGAUGCGUCUGAUUAGGUUGUUGGCGGGGUAACGGCCCACCAAGCCUACGAUCAGUAGGGUUCUGAGAGGAAGGUCCCCCACAUUGGAACUGAGACACGGUCCAAACUCCUACGGGAGGCAGCAGUGAGGAAUAUUGGUCAAUGGACGAGAGUCUGAACCAGCCAAGUAGCGUGCAGGAUGACGGCCCUAUGGGUUGUAAACUGCUUUUAUACAGGGAUAAAGUGACGUACGUGUACGUUUUUGUAGGUACUGUAUGAAUAAGGACCGGCUAAUUCCGUGCCAGCCGCUGC